UACGUAGGGUGCAAGCGUUGUCCGGAAUUAUUGGGCGUAAAGAGCUCGUAGGCGGUCUGUCGCGUCUGGUGUGAAAACUCAAGGCUUAACCUUGGGCCUGCAUCGGGUACGGGCAGACUAGAGUGCGGUAGGGGAGACUGGAAUUCCUGGUGUAGCGGUGAAAUGCGCAGAUAUCAGGAAGAACACCGGUGGCGAAGGCGGGUCUCGGGGCCGUAACUGACGCUGAGGAGCGAAAGCAUGGGGAGCGAACAGG
rnacentral:rRNA from 1 species